ensembl:miRNA mir182 microRNA mir-182
UGGUUCUCUAGUGGUGUUUGGCAAUGGUAGAACUCACACUGGUGAGGUAGAUGGAUCCGGUGGUUCUAGACUUGCCAACUACUGCUUGAGAGUGUCCAA